ensembl:snoRNA SNORA74 Small nucleolar RNA SNORA74
CCCAGCUGUAGGCAAAUGCCUAGGUUGCCUUAUACCUAGGCAAGUGUUACACAACUGGGAGAAAAGCAGCUGAUAGCUGGUGGGCAUUCUGGGCCUGGUUCAUGCCAAAUUUGGUUUGACUAUACCAGUGUGCCAGCACA